GGUGCUGCUAUUCAUUCAUUCAUUAGUUCAUUCACUCAUCUGGGAUCGAGAGCAUGGUGUGCCAGGCACCUUAGCAGAGCAGAAGACAGAGCGAGAACCCGGCAGACACCGCCACUGCUCCUGUGGGAUCUGAGGUUUAGUGGGGACACAAGGAAUUGAGCACAUGGCACGGAAAGUGCCCUUAAACCAGCCCGGGAAGAUGAAGGCGAGCUUCCUGGAGGAAGAGGCACCUAAGCUGAUGACUGAAGGAAAACGAUGUCUGUAUGGGUCUCCCCGGUUUUGCCCACAACUGCAGGGUCCUAUGGAUGCCCAGUGGAGCCCACGGUGAGAACCUGAGGGUGAGGCUGAAGAGACCAUGCUCCCCUGUGCUCUGUCCUUCUCCUGGUGCUGGCUUCAUCCUGAGGCUUGAGCUGUGGUGGCUUCAGGAUUCAUAGGUUCUCACAACAACCCCGGUAAGAGAGACUCUUGAGAAGGAGGAGCAGUUUCCCCGAAGCAUCCACCAAACCUACCCUUGUAUCUCAUGGGCCCGAAUUGGGACAUAUAUCUGUUGUGCUCUCUGAAGACACUCCCAGUAAAUGGGACUUCUAAAUUUUGAUAUAUAAAACAAAAGAAGAAAAUAUGACCUCUACUUCUAAUACUGUUGGAGGCUAUAACCUAGUUAUACAGUGGAAAUUGAGGUCCAUAGAGAUUAAGUUAUAUGCCUAAAUUAUAUUGCAGAGUGGAAUUUAAACUCAGGUUGUUGACUGCAAAGUCUCUAAUUUUUCUUUUUCCCAGUUUACCUCUUUUUAAAAUAUGAGCAUAUCUGUAAUGUUUUUGUAAGAAUGACCAUGUUCAAACCCAUGUUGUUUAAAGGUAAAGAAAAAAAGGAUGACCAUGUCUAUCAAAAAAUUCAAUGUAGAAAAGUUCAGAGAAGUAAGUAAAAGUAAACUGAGAUCUCCUAUCCGAUGAUAAACCACAAAUACAUUGGUAAACAUCCUUCCAAAUGUAACACUGCAUAAAAUCACAUGUAAGUGUACAACUUAAUAAAAAUGGAGUCAUAUUCUA
rnacentral:lncRNA from 1 species